GUGCCUGAUACGGAGAACAUCUGAUAUCCUCUCUAAGUAUCUGCCAGUGAAGAUUGAGCAGGUGGUUUGUUGUAGGUACUGAACUUGCUGGAAAGGCGGACAGCUGACACCCCUUCAAACUGAGCUAUACAAGAGAUUUCUAAGACAGGCUAAGCCUGAAGAAGAAUUGCAUGAGGGCAAGAUGAGUGUAUCUUCCCUGUCUUCUAUCACCUCUCUAAAGAAGCUGUGUAAUCAUCCAGCUCUAAUCUAUGACAAGUGUGUGGCAGAGGAGGAUGGCUUUGAGGGCACUUUGGGUAUCUUCCCCCCUGGUUAUAACUCUAAAGCUGUAGAACCACAGUUGUCGGGUAAGAUGCUGGUCCUUGACUACAUUCUGGCCAUGACUCGAAGCCGUAGCAGUGACAAAGUC
rnacentral:lncRNA from 1 species